GCUGUGAUGGCCGAGUGGUUAAGGCGUUGGACUCGAAAUCCAAUGGGGUUUCCCCGCGCAGGUUCGAACCCUGCUCUCAGCG
rnacentral:tRNA from 1 species